rnacentral:pre_miRNA from 1 species
UAAUAAAAUUUUAUUAAUUUCUAUUGUAAAAAAUUGAUGUGGUUUACAGAAUAAUUAAAUAGUUACACAUGGUAUGCCAUGUAUAUUUUAUUUUGACAUAUAAAGACUAAUUUUUAACAGUAAAAAUGCAUGAAACUUUUAACA